UACCAGCACCCCGAGUGGUCGGGACGUUUAUUGGGCCUAAAGCAUCCGUAGCCGGUUCUACAAGUCUUCCGUUAAAUCCAACUGCUUAACAGGUGGGCUGCGGAAGAUACUAUAGAGCUAGGAGGCGGGAGAGGCAAGCGGUACUCGAUGGGUAGGGGUAAAUCCGUUGAUCCAUUGAAGACCACCAGUGGCGAAGGCGGCUCGCUGGGCCAUUCCUGACGCUGAGGUGCGAAGCGUGGGAGCAAACAGG
rnacentral:rRNA from 1 species